CAUGAAGCCGGAAUUGCUAGUAAUGGCAGGUCAGCAUACUGCCGUGAAUACGUUCCCGGGCCUUGUACACACCGCCCGUCACACCAUGAGAGUUGGGAAUACCCGAAGCCUGUGAGCUAACAUUAUGAGGCAGCAGUCGAAGGUAGAAUCAAUGAUUGGGGUGAAGUCGUAACAAGGUAAC
rnacentral:rRNA from 1 species